rnacentral:rRNA from 1 species
UACGUAGGGCGCAAGCGUUGUCCGGAAUUAUUGGGCGUAAAGAGCUCGUAGGCGGCUUGUCACGUCGGAUGUGAAAGCCCGAGGCUUAACCUCGGGUCUGCAUUCGAUACGGGCUAGCUAGAGUGUGGUAGGGGAGAUCGGAAUUCCUGGUGUAGCGGUGAAAUGCGCAGAUAUCUGGAGGAACACCGGUGGCGAAGGCGGCGUCCUGGACCAACACUGACACUGAGGAGCGAAAGCCAGGGGAGCAAACGGG